rnacentral:rRNA from 1 species
CCUACGGGCGGCAGCAGUGGGGAAUAUUGGACAAUGGGGGGAACCCUGAUCCAGCCAUGCCGCGUGUGUGAAGAAGGCCCUCGGGUUGUAAAGCACUUUCAGUGAGGAAGAACGCCUGGUGGUUAAUACCCAUCAGGAAAGACAUCACUCACAGAAGAAGCACCGGCUAACUCCGUGCCAGCAGCCGCGGUAAUACGGAGGGUGCGAGCGUUAAUCGGAAUUACUGGGCGUAAAGCGCGCGUAGGUGGCUUGAUAAGCCGGUUGUGAAAGCCCCAGGCUCAACCUGGGAACGGCAUCCGGAACUGUCAAGCUAGAGUGCAGGAGAGGAAGGUAGAAUUCCCGGUGUAGCGGUGAAAUGCGUAGAGAUCGGGAGGAAUACCAGUGGCGAAGGCGGCCUUCUGGACUGACACUGACACUGAGGUGCGAAAGCGUGGGUAGCAAACAGGAUUAGAUACCCUGGUAGUC